rnacentral:rRNA from 1 species
CGGGCUUGAAUUGCAGAGGAAAGAUCCAGAGAUGGUGAUGCCCUUCGGGGCCUCUGUGAAGGUGCUGCAUGGUU